UCAGUAGUAGGACAGGGGGCCGUUUCUACUGUCAGAGAUGCUGCCACUCGUCUCACAGUGAACCGGUCUCUUUUCCUGCUAUUCA
rnacentral:pre_miRNA from 8 species